rnacentral:tRNA from 1 species
ACCGCGAUAGCUCAGCUGGGUAAAGCAUCUGCUCGGUAUGCGGAGGGUCGCCGGUUCGAUUCCGGCUCGCGGCG